AAAAUGCAGUUAGUAUUUGUUAUGGAUUAUAUGGGACAUGCCUACUUCCACUAAUUGAGGUCUUCUUUCAACGUCUUGGGAUUGCUGAUUAACGACUGAUCUUGAAUUGAUUGCUUCUUUUCUUACAUAAUUGUAUUAAUAUCUUUUUGAAAGAAAAUUGUGUAUAUAUAAAAAUAUUCCAAAUUUUGGGGUUUCGGCUCAUCGAUGAAACCUCAUCUCACAUUUAAUGGAUCGACUCAUUAAUUCCUGACUCCUUUUCCCAUCCUUCCCUUCCGUUCCGCCCUCUCAUUUUCGUAACUUCUUCAUUACUAUCAGCUUGUAUUUCACUCACCAAUGCUGCGAAGUCCCCUUAGCGCCGUCAACUUAAGCUGCCCGCUGUCAGUCUCCUCACCGCCCAUCACUUGUUCGACAAAAAUCCGCCCUCAACAGCUCAUUCGCUCAUCAAACCGAAGCUCCGUCUACUGCCUGACGGGGUCCCAGAAAGAUUCCAAGGACGCAUUGUCUCGGAUUAUAAGAAGAGAGGCUGCUAUUGAAGGCAUUGGGAGGAAAGCCAAGUCCAAGAAGCAGCGCAAGAGGCUUUGGCCUAAGGCUGUCUUGGAGGCUCUCGAUGAAGCCAUAAAGGACAACGCUUGGUACUCUGCUCUUGAGAUAUUUGCACUUCUACGUAAGCAACAAUGGUACGAGCCUAGAUGCCAAACAUACACAAAAUUGAUAGUGAUGCUGGGUAAAUGCAAGCAACCCGAGCAAGCCAGUUUGCUAUUCGAAACAAUGCUUUCGGAAGGACUUAAACCCGCCAUUGAUGUCUAUACUGCUCUUGUACAUGCAUAUGGUAAAAGUGGCCUCAUUGACAAGGCUUUUUCUGCUGUUGAAGAUAUGAAAUCAGUCUUUGACUGCAAACCUGAUGUGUAUACUUACUCCAUUCUGAUCGACUCUUGUGUGAAACAUCGCCGCUUUGAUCUCAUGAGUAGAAUUCUUGCAGAGAUGUCUUAUCUAGGAAUUGGGUUUAGCACUAUUACAUACAACAGUAUUAUUGAUGGAUAUGGUAAGGCUGAAUUGUUUGAGGAUAUGGAGAACUUACUGACAGAUAUGAUUGAAAGUGGUGAUUCCCUGCCUGAUAUUUUCACCUUCAAUUCUAUUAUUGGGGCUUAUGGAAACAUAGGGCAGAUUGAGAAGAUGGAAAAGUGGUAUGAAGAAUUUCAGCUAAUGGGAAUAAGGCCAGACAUUAACACUUUCAACAUCCUUAUUAAAUCUUUUGGGAAAACAGGCAUGUAUGAGAAGAUGGGUUCGGUCAUGAAGUUCAUGAGCAAAAGAUUUUUCUCCCCCACCAUUGUUACUUAUAAUAUUGUUAUUGAAGUAUUAGGAAAGGCCGGAAAGAUUGAGAAGAUGGAGGAAUAUUUCAAGGAAAUGAAGCAUAAAGGAAUGAAGCCAAAUGCUAUUACUUAUUGUUCUCUUGUUAGUGCUUACUCUAAGGCUGGUUUAAUUAAGAAGGUUGCUUCAAUUUUGAGGCAGGUGGAGAAUUCUGAUGUGAUACUCGAUACCCCUUUUUUUAACUGUGUCAUCAGUGCCUAUGGUAAGGUUGAUGACAUAAAAAGGAUGGCUGAAUUGUUUAUGUUGAUGAAAGAGAAAAAAUGCAUGCCGGAUAACAUCACUUUUGCAACUAUGAUUCAAGCCUACAACACUCAUGGCAUGAUUGAAGCUGCUCAAGAUUUACAAAACAAGUUGAUCAACAACACAAGCAAAAGUUUAGUUAUGGUGAAGGAGAUGAGAAGGAAUGAGGUCAUGUGAUCAGUGAAUUAGGAUGCAAUGAUGGAGAUGGUAGAGAUGAGAUUUUAAGUGGAGUAUGAUCAAAGAAACUGCCUUCGAUGAUGGUACUCAAAUGGAAUGCCGAUUCAAGUAAAACAAUUCCUUUAUUUGAUUGAGAUGUGUCUAUUAGAUGGAUUAACUAAAGAACUAUGAUUAUGAAAUGUGCAUGUACCAAUCAGAUAAACAUACUUGGAAAAGUCAUGUGUAGGACAAUAAUCAUUGAAGAAUGUUGAUUUGCAACUUGCAGUUGCUGGUAGAAGGUGCGGGGAGCAAUGAGAGGAAGAUAGUUGUCGAACUGAUGACUACUGAGGAAGGAGGCUGGAUCAGGUAUAGCCGUAUAGGUUUGGGUACUUUGUGUUGAAUUGGGGCCAUUCAUGGUUGACAGUUGAGACCUUUCUCUCUCUCUAACUGAACCAUCUAAGAAACUUCUAAUGGUGCUAUCAAUUUGAGCAGACACCCUGAUGAGCAGAGGCAGAGCCCAAUAAUAUGAAAGUUUUUUAACUUUCUGAAGCCGAAGCAGCAUUGGGGAGCAAACUGUAACCAAUGUCCUCUCUUAACUAGAACUCAUCCAAUACAACAAGAGUAGAUAUAUACAUUUACACAUUGCAGGUGAAAUCUGAGUUGGUAGGGUUUGGGACAUCAUUGCAAGGCAUGUGUAGCUAAGAUCACACGCUUUUGUUUGAGGGAUAUGGAGUUGGAAAUGAGUUCUUAGCACUGUCAUGUUUCCGGCCACGCAUUCUAACAUAACUGUAAGCAACGCAUGAAGAAGAUAUCAAGUAAUGGCAUGAAUUUGAUCUUUAUAGUGAA